rnacentral:tmRNA from 1 species
GGGGCUGACUGGAAUUGACGGGCAGAGCAACUGAGAUGUAAGCAUGUAGCGCUUUGUUUGCUGGCGCUCUAAUCUCAACAUUCAAAAUUUUAAGAGGCGACAAUAACUUCGCAAUGGCUGCUUAAUUUAGAAUUAAGUAAUGCUAUCCAUCUUCGGUGCCUUUGUUUGGGUCGGUGCCGUGUUAAGAUGGUCGACAGACCUGAAUAUCUACUAGGAGCGGUUGCGGCUUAAUAGAUUACACAGCAACAUAAGGUUUUGAAAUGGUAGGUGGUAAACCGUUCAACGCCCGAAAAUAAUUACUACUAAACAUGUAGAAAGCGUUAUCAUUUCCUGCUCCGGACCAGGGUUCGACUCCCUGCAGCUCCACAU